rfam:Biomphalaria glabrata isolate BB02 linkage group LG8 unlocalized genomic scaffold LG8_random_Scaffold381, whole genome shotgun sequence.
GGCGUGGUGGCUGAUUGGUAAAGCGCUUGGCUUCCGAACCGGGGGUCCCGGGCUCGAAUCCCGGUGAAGACU